ACAGCAUUAUAUUCAGUUCUUAUCCUUUGAAAAGAAUAUUUGUUAUACUCUUUAUCUGAAAAGUUAAUAUCUUAUACUUUGAAAUGAAACCUGUGCUUCAGGAUCUUAAAAGUAUAGAUUGUCGGCUCUUUCUUCAACCUCAGUUGCUCUACCCUAGAAGGACCCAUGGUUCUUAUUACUUCAUGGGGUUGAUCUCUCCUACUAAUAAUGAUGUCAACAAAGAAUUUAAUAAAUUAUCCUUCGUUCAUCUCUAUCCCAUAUAUUGGGUCUGUCAGUCCCAACUUUCUUAUUAUCUCAGCUAAUAUUAUCUUAGAGGAUAUAUCAUCAAUUAUCUCCA
rnacentral:lncRNA from 1 species